rnacentral:rRNA from 1 species
GACGAACGCUGGCGGCGUGCCUAAUACAUGCAAGUUGAGCGAUGAAGAUUGGUGCUUGCACCAAUUUGAAGAGCAGCGAACGGGUGAGUAACGCGUGGGGAAUCUGCCUUUGAGCGGGGGACAACAUUUGGAAACGAAUGCUAAUACCGCAUAACAACUUUAAACAUAAGUUUUAAGUUUGAAAGAUGCAAUUGCAUCACUCAAAGAUGAUCCCGCGUUGUAUUAGCUAGUUGGUGAGGUAAAGGCUCACCAAGGCGAUGAUACAUAGCCGACCUGAGAGGUGAUCGGCCACAAUGGGACCGGGGACCGGCCCCAACCCCCUACGGGGGGCGCCAGAGGGGAACUUUCGGCAAUGACGGAAGGCUUGACGGGGCACGCCCGCGUAGUGGAGGAAGGUUUCGGGUUCGUAAAACUUGUUUGUUAGGGAGAAAGUUUGUGGGAGUGGAAAGCUCAUCAAGUGACGGUAACUACCCAGAAAGGGACGGCUAACUACGUG